rnacentral:lncRNA from 1 species
CAUAUAAAUGGGUGGCUGGUACAUGAGUCUAGAGGGACCCCAGAUGUUUACUCAGAGUGUGCUUGCCAGACGUUGAGUUUGAUCAAACAUGCUUGGCCAGUCACGUUGGUCCAACCCCAUUUCAAGUCUCUGCCAUUUCAUUGAGCAUUCAGUAUUGUUCGUUUGAACUCUUACUAACUGGUCGACAUCUAUAUUCUACAUCGUAUACUACUGUUAAAUACUGAGCCUGAGGAAAUAUUAUUUGUGAGGUGAAGGCUGCCUUUGUGUGUGUGAUUGGAUACUGAUCAUUAUUGGGGAAUUCCCCUGUGACCAGUGAAAAGGGGCGAAUGAUUGAGGCAGGGAUUUAUCAAGGCUUGGCAUCGAUCAUUCUAUAUUAAAAGAAAUCUCUUGAAGGAAGCAGUCAUCUCAUUUGGUCAUCAAGCUCUCAUCCAGCCUCAGGCAAUCUACAGGGUUGUGAUAAGGUGUCUUGGAUCAAGCUCCAGAGAUAUAUCCCUUACCAAGGUCAGUAGGGAAGGCAGUCAAGUGGAAAAUUUGUCCUUACUUGAGGUCAGGGAUGGUCUGGGCCAUUAAAAGCUAGUCUACAAUCUUCCAGACCAGGGUCAUAAUCCAGCUGUGACUGUAAUGGAUUUGGUCUUGGCAAGAUAAGGAGUGUGGGGAAAUGUAUUUGGUCAACCAAAGAGAUAUC